GACGAACGCUGGCGGCGUGCCUAAUACAUGCAAGUCGAACGAGAGCGACCGGUGCUUGCACUGGUCAAUCUAGUGGCGAACGGGUGAGUAACACGUGGGUAACCUGCCCAUCAGAGGGGGAUAACAUCCGGAAACGGAUGCUAAAACCGCAUAGGUCUUCGAGCCGCAUGGCUUGAAGAGGAAAAGAGGCGCAAGCUUCUGCUGAUGGAUGGACCCGCGGUGCAUUAGCUAGUUGGUGAGGUAACGGCUCACCAGGGCCGUGAUGCAUAGCCGACCUGAGAGGGUGAUCGGCCACAUUGGGACUGAGACACGGCCCAAACUCCUACGGGAGGCAGCAGUAGGGAAUCUUCCGCAAUGGACGCAAGUCUGACGGAGCAACGCCGCGUGAGUGAAGAAGGUUUUCGGAUCGUAAAACUCUGUUGUUAGAGAAGAACAAGUGCUAGAGUAACUGUUAGCGCCUUGACGGUAUCUAACCAGAAAGCCACGGCUAACUACGUG
rnacentral:rRNA from 1 species